rnacentral:rRNA from 1 species
AGCAGCCGCGGUAAUUCCAGCUCCAAUAGCGUAUAUUUAAGUUGUUGCAGUUAAAAAGCCGUAGUUGAAUUUCGGGGUUAGCAGGUCGGUCGUGCCAUCGGUAUGAACUGGUCUCGCUAUCCCUCCCUCUUGACGAACUGUGAUGCCAUUAAUUUGGUGUCGCAGGGAAUCAGGACUUUACUUUGAAAAAUUAGAGUGUUUAAAGCAGGCUCACGCUUGAAUACAUUAGCAUGGAAAAUGAAAUAGGACGUUU